CAAAGGAAUUGACGGGGGCCCGCACAAGCAGUGGAGUAUGUGGUUUAAUUCGACGCAACGCGAAGAACCUUACCAAGUCUUGACAUCCCUUGACGAUGCUGGAAACGGUAUUUCUCUUCGGAGCAAGGAGACAGGUGGUGCAUGGUUGUCGUCAGCUCGUGUCGUGAGAUGUUGGGUUAAGUCCCGCAACGAGCGCAACCCUUAUGGUCAGUUACUACGCAAGAGGACUCUGGCCAGACUGCCGUUGACAAAACGGAGGAAGGUGGGGAUGACGUCAAAUCAUCAUGCCCUUUAUGACUUGGGCUACACACGUACUACAAUGGCGUUAAACAAAGAGAAGCAAGACCGCGAGGUGGAGCAAAACUCAGAAACAACGUCCCAGUUCGGACUGCAGGCUGCAACUCGCCUGCACGAAGUCGGAAUUGCUAGUAAUCGUGGAUCAGCAUGCCACGGUGAAUACGUUCCCGGGCCUUGUACACACCGCCCGUCACACCAUGAGAGCCGGGGGGACCCGAAGUCGGUAGUCUAACCGCAAGGAGACGCCGCCGAAGGUAAAA
rnacentral:rRNA from 1 species